GCUGUGAUGGCCGAGUGGUUAAGGCGUUGGAAUCCAAUGGGGUUUCCCCACGCAGGUUCAAACCCUGCUCACAGCG
rnacentral:tRNA from 1 species